UUAUGACUUGUUUUAAUGUUGUGUGUGGCGCGCGCCUCUGGACCAUUAGAUGCGCCACGUCAAUUAAUGAAACCACAUCCCACGCUUCCUAAUUUUCCCUAUUUUCUAUUUUCUGAUUUAAUUUCUUUUAUUUCCAUUAUUUUCAGAAAUUCAUAUCUUCUUCAUUUUAAAUCCAAAAAAUAUGCGACUAAUUGCAUUCUUCUCCAAAUAAUUUCAAGUUUCUAAAUUUGAUUUUUAAUAUUUUUUAUUUUGUCAUUUGAUAUUUUUUGUGAAUUUUCUCUUUU
rnacentral:lncRNA from 1 species